rnacentral:rRNA from 1 species
UACGUAGGGGGCAAGCGUUGUCCGGAAUCAUUGGGCGUAAAGAGCGUGUAGGCGGUCCGGUAAGUCGGCUGUGAAAGUCCAGGGCUCAACCCUGGGAUGCCGGUCGAUACUGCCGGACUAGAGUUCGGAAGAGGCGAGUGGAAUUCCCGGUGUAGCGGUGAAAUGCGCAGAUAUUGGGAAGAACACCAGUGGCGAAGGCGGCUAACUGGUCCAGAUCUGACGCUGAGGUGCGAAAGCGUGGGGAGCAAACAGG